rnacentral:ncRNA from 1 species
UAUAAAUUUAAUUCUAGUUUUAUUAUUUAGCUUAUAUUUAUGGUAAUUUGAUCAUGCCAGUUGUUGCUAUUAUUUAACUAAUCUCGCCUUAAAGGUGAAUUAAAUUGAGAUUUAUUUUGUUGGCAGUUAUUUUUAUUGUACUAUUUUAAAUUUAAAGAUACAGUUACUUUUAUUUUAACUAGCAAAAAUUGUGCCAGCGGCUGCGGUUACACAAUUAGUUAUAGUUAAUUUGUUUAGUGUUGAUAUUUUAAUUCUUAAUUGAGUCAAUUAAUUUAUUAUUAAGGUGAAAUUUAUUUUAUUUGCUUAUCUCUGGUUUUAUUGAUAAUGGGAAAUUUUUAGUUAGACUAGGAUUAGAUACCCUAUUAUUACGAAUGUAAAUUUAUACUUGUUAUUAUAAGUUUUGAUCUUUAAAUCAAAAGAAUUUGACGGUAAUUUAAUCUUUUCAGAGGAACCUGUCCUUUAAUUGAUAAUCCACGAUAAAUCUUACCUCAGUCUGUAAUUCAUAUAUCUCUGUUUGUUGAGUGUUUUAAUAGAAUUAUUCUCUUUCUUUAUUUUUAAUAAUUUAUAUCAGGUCAAGGUGUGGUUGUAUUUAGGGUUGAGAUGGGUUACAUUAAUAUAUUAUUUAUGGAUCAUAGAAUGAUAGAUUGUAUUAUCCUUGUGAAAUUGGAUUUGAAUGUAAUUAUGUAUUAUAUAUUUAUAAUGAUACUUGUUCUUGGUUAAGUACACAUCGCCCGUCGCUCUCAUUCAUUAAAAUGAGAUAAGUCGUAACAAAGUAGGCUUAUCGGAAGAUGAGCCUGGAUUUAUA